GGAGAGAUGGCGAAAUUGGUAUACGCAAUAGUUUGCUAAACUAUCAUCCUUAACGGGUGUGGAGGUUCAAGUCCUCUUCUCUCCGCCA
rnacentral:tRNA from 1 species